UACGGAGGGUGCGAGCGUUGUCCGGAAUCAUUGGGCGUAAAGGGCGCGUAGGCGGCGGGGUAAGUCGGGUGUGAAAUCUCAGGGCUCAACCCUGAAACUGCACUCGAUACUGCUCUGCUUGAGGACUGGAGAGGAGACUGGAAUUCACGGUGUAGCAGUGAAAUGCGUAGAUAUCGUAAGGAAGACCAGUGGCGAAGGCGGGUCUCUGGACAGUUCCUGACGCUGAGGCACGAAGGCCAGGGGAGCAAACGGG
rnacentral:rRNA from 1 species